rnacentral:lncRNA from 1 species
UGGCAGUUAAUCUAUUUUAGAAUGGUGAUUUUUGAAUUUUUUCUACCGGAUACAUAUUUCUUAUUAAAUAGUGAUGGUAGAAAAUACCAUUCUUUCCUUCAUCCCUUAUGCAAUUUUUUUUACCUUCUGGUUCUUAUCUUAACCAGAUAGUAUUUAUUUGCCUGCUUCUUAUUCCCUCUAGGGUGCCCUGCAUGUCUCCAAAUGUUUUGGAGAUCAGGUCCUCGUUGCCUUCAUGCUAGAAGUAUGGUUUUUGAUGAAUGUGCUCUGUAGUCUCAGAGAAGAUGACUUCAGUAAAUGGAAGUUAAAAAGAUUUCUGGAAACCUAUGGUCUAUGCACAUGACAAAGAUGAAGAAAAAUGGGAGAAAUAAACAGUGGCAGAAGGAACAUAUAAGAAAAAGAGGUUCUAUUCUUCAUAACUUCAGUAGGAC